ensembl:miRNA
AAAUGUAGUAGACUUUAAGUAUACAUGUGGAACUGGGGAGUAUACUAAGUACACUACGUUUAU